rnacentral:rRNA from 1 species
UGGCGGACGGGUGAGUAACGCGUGGGUAACCUGCCCUAUACAGGGGGAUAACAGUUAGAAAUGACUGCUAAUACCGCAUAAGCGCACAGGACCGCAUGGUUCAGUGUGAAAAACUGAGGUGGUAUAGGAUGGACCCGCGUCUGAUUAGCUAGUUGGUGGGGUAACGGCUCACCAAGGCGACGAUCAGUAGCCGGCCUGAGAGGGCGACCGGCCACAUUGGGACUGAGACACGGCCCAAACUCCUACGGAAGGCAGCAG